AAAGAGAUCAUCUGAGGAGAUCAGACAGAGAGAGGAAAGUCCCCCAGAGAUUUCUGGAGAAGGAUGAACAGGAUGAGACCGGUGCAGCAACAUCCUCUCAAACACAGGAGGACACAAGCAGAAGUCAGAAGGCAAGCCAAGGGAGGAAACAAUGCACUCUGUGCAAAAGAUGUACACCCUGGAUGUGUUUGGAGUGCAAAGUUGGCCUCUGUCUUCAGCUAGACAGGAACUGCUUCACCAUCUACCAUGGCUGCUAAAAAACGCCUGAAAAUCUACAAAUAUAAAAGCCUCAAAUAUGAAAACUGAAAGCUGCAGGCAAACAAAACUUUUUGUGAUGUUGUAAAAUAGGUUAAAUUUCAUUUCUGUAAUAUUGGAUUUUUUGUUCCUAUACAUUUGAAUUGUUCAUAAAGCAAAACCUGGUGAUAUUUCAAA